rnacentral:lncRNA from 1 species
UACUUUGGCCAGAGUGAUGCAAAAUAAAUUUGGUGAGACAUGCCAGCUCAGGAAAUUAAUUGUUAUUUGGACAGAUUCAUUAUUGGUAGGGAUGAUUUUCCUUUGAUUGGCAGAAUGACCAUCUCCACUUAUGCGAAUUAUUAUAGAUGUGGAGGAGAGCUGAAGAGAUAACAUUCUUCAUACCUGGCUAGCAGCUUGGUGACAUGAGUGGGAUGCUCAGACAAGCCAUUACAUAAAAAACAGCAGGCUUUAGUUUCUAGCAAAACUUAUCAUUUCUGAGGGAAAUGCUCAGAGAAAACAGAUACUGUCUUCCAGGCAUAUUCAGAUCUGGGCCAGCUUAGGGUAAAAUCUUGUUGAGAUCUUCCAGGUUUCCUGCUUUCUGAGCCAAACCUUACCACAGCAGAUAUGACUGUAGGUUAGACAGACCCACUGAGUUUUAAUGAUUCAGUUCAGAACCAAAACCUGAGGGAAAUCUGGGGUUUAAACCUGAAUGUGCAUCCCAGAGAAACAGGUAUUUUUCGUUUGGUUUUGGCUCAGCAUCUAUGCUGCUGGCAUUUUCGAAGACCACAUAUGAAGCAGACCAAAUCAGUCAGAUUAAUCACCAUGCUGUUUUUUGUUGUUGUUGACAUAUCAGCAGAGGAAAGCACUGAUCGUGUUUCAUGUACUUGUCUUUUGAAAGUUUCCCACAAUACAGGUUUUUGGUCUGCUGAAUCUUCUCACAAUUUAUCUAUACAUCUUCAAGCUACAACCCGAGCUCAGACUAAAAAACAGAGAACUGAAAAGCAGGGAACAAGCCUCUGGCCUCCCUGCAUAUGACCUGGAAAGGCGCAAUGCCCCUGGGCAAGCCUGUUUGUUUGAGCAAUCUAAUGGUUUGUUAGGACACCUGGCUUCUCCCAGGGAAACUGGGAGGGUCCAGCAUGAAUAAACAAGCUGGAUCAUCUGCA